rnacentral:rRNA from 1 species
AAUCAACGCUGGCGGCGUGCCUAACACAUGCAAGUCGCACGAGAAAUGGACUUCGGUCCUGAGUACAGUGGCGCACGGGUGAGUAACACGUGAAUCAUCUACCUUCGAGUGGGGAAUAACUGAGAGAAAUCUUAGCUAAUACCGCAUAAUACCUACGGGUCAAAGCAGUAAUGCGCUUGAAGAGGAGUUCGCGGCAGAUUAGUUAGUUGGCGGGGUAAUGGCCCACCAAGACGAUGAUCUGUAUCCGGCCUGAGAGGGCGCACGGACACACUGGAACUGAAACACGGUCCAGACUCCUACGGGGGGCAGCAGUGGGGAAUUUUGCGCAAUGGGGGAAACCCUGACGCAGCAACGCCGCGUGGAGGAUGAAAUAUCUUGGUAUGUAAACUCCUUUCGAUGGGGAAGAUAAUGACGGUACCCAUAGAAGAAGCCCCGGCUAACUUCGUGCCAGCAGCCGCGGUAAUACGAGGGGGGCAAGCGUUGUUCGGAAUUAUUGGGCGUAAAGGGUGCGUA